AUUUAAAUAGUUUAAUGAAAAUAUUAAUUUGUGGAGUUAAAGUUUAUAUUUUAUAUAUUUAAAU
rnacentral:tRNA from 1 species